CAGCCGCCGCGGUAACACGAAGGGUGCAAGCGUUACUCGGAAUUACUGGGCGUAAAGCGUGCGUAGGUGGUGGUUUAAGUCCGUUGUGAAAGCCCUGGGCUCAACCUGGGAAUUGCAGUGGAUACUGGGUCACUAGAGUGUGGUAGAGGAUAGUGGAAUUUCCGGUGUAGCAGUGAAAUGCGUAGAGAUCGGAAGGAACAUCUGUGGCGAAGGCGACUAUCUGGGCCAACACUGACACUGAGGCACGAAAGCGUGGGGAGCAAACAGGAUUAGAGACCCGAGUAGUCCCUGUCUCUUAUAU
rnacentral:rRNA from 1 species